GACGAACGCUGGCGGCGUGCCUAAUACAUGCAAGUAGAACGCUGAAGGAGGAGCUUGCUCUUCUGGAUGAGUUGCGAACGGGUGAGUAACGCGUAGGUAACCUGCCUGGUAGCGGGGGAUAACUAUUGGAAACGAUAGCUAAUACCGCAUAACAGUAGAUGUUGCAUGACAUUUACUUAAAAGGUGCAAUUGCAUUACUACCAGAUGGACCUGCGUUGUAUUAGCUAGUUGGUGGGGUAACGGCUCACCACGGCGACGAUACAUAGCCGGCCUGGGAGGGGGAAUGGCCAAACUGGGACUGGGGAAAGGCCCAGGCUCCUACGGGAGGGAGCAGUAGGGGAUCUUCGGCAAUGGGCGGAAGGCUGAACGAGGAACGGCGCGUGAGUGAAGAAGGGUUUCGGGACGGAAAGCUCUGUUGUAAGAGAAGAACGAGUGGGAGAGUGGAAAGUUCACACUGUGACGGUAUCUUACCAGAAAGGGACGGCUAACUACGUG
rnacentral:rRNA from 1 species